GCCUGGAUAGCUCAGUUGGUUAGAGCAUGAUGCUGAUAACAUCAAGUUGGCAGGUUCGAUCUCUGUAUAGGACA